rnacentral:rRNA from 1 species
CCUACGGGCGGCAGCAGUGGGGAAUAUUGCACAAUGGGGGAAACCCUGAUGCAGCGACGCCGCGUGAGCGAGGAAGUAUUUCGGUAUGUAAAGCUCUAUCAGCAGGGACGAAAAAAGACGGUACCUGACUAAGAAGCACCGGCUAACUACGUGCCAGCAGCCGCGGUAAUACGCAGGGGGCAAGCGGUAUACGGAUGUACUGGGUUGAAAGGGAGCGUAGACGGCAAGGCAAGCCAGAAGUGAAAGGGCAGGGCUCAACCCUGUACAUGAUUUUGGAACUGUGGUGUUAGAGUGCAGGAGAGGUAAGUGGAAUUCCUGGUGUAGCGGUGAAAUGCGUAGAUAUUAGGAGGAACACCGGUGGCGAAGGCAGCUUACUGGACUGUAACUGACGUUGAGGCUCGAAAGCGUGGGGAGCAAACAGGAUUAGAUACCCCUGUAGUC